rnacentral:rRNA from 1 species
AAUCAACGCUGGCGGCGUGCCUCAGACAUGCAAGUCGAACGCGAAAGUUUCCUUCGGGAGACAAGUAGAGUGGCGCACGGGUGAGUAACACGUAGGUAAUCUACCUUUGGAUGGGGAAUAACAACCGGAAACGGUUGCUAAUACCGCAUAAUGCAGCGGCACCUAAUGGUGACAGUUGUUAAAGCGGGGGAUCGAAAGACCUCGCGUCUGAAGAGGAGCCUGCGGCGGAUUAGCUAGUUGGUAAGGUAAUGGCUUACCAAGGCUACGAUCCGUAACCGGCCUGAGAGGGCGGUCGGUCACACUGACACUGACAUACGGGUCAGACUCCUACGGGAGGCAGCAGUCGGGAAUUUUGGGCAA